rnacentral:rRNA from 1 species
CUGGCGGCGUGCCUAACACAUGCAAGUCGAGCGGAGUCAGUAAGAGGAAGUUUCGGAUGGAAUCUGUUGAUUAGCGGCGGACGGGUGAGUAACGCGUGAGCGACCAACCUUGCACAGGGGGAUAACGGACCGAAAGGUUCACUAAUACCGCAUGAGACCACGGUGUUGCAUGACACAGGGGUCAAAGGAGCAAUCCGGUGCAAGACGGGCUCGCGUCCGAUUAGGUAGUUGGAGGGGUAACGGCCCACCAAGCCUAUGAUCGGUAGCCGACCUGAGAGGGUGAUCGGCCACAUUGGAACUGAGAUACGGUCCAAACUCCUACGGGAGGCAGCAGUGGGGAAUAUUGGGGCAAUGGGGGAAACCCUGACCCAGCAACGCCGCGUGAAGGAAGAAGGUUUUCGGAUUGUAAACUUCUGUCCUUGGUGAAGAGAAGAAGACGGUAGCCAAGGAGGAAGCCCCGGCUAACUACGUGCCAGCCGCGGC